rnacentral:rRNA from 1 species
AUGCAUUCUACUGUCAAAAAUGAAAUAAGGAAAAGACAAUCCAAGUGGAAAUCUGUACACUGGGAACUGGUGGAGCCUGCUGUAAGCAUAAGAACUUUGAAGGCUCGUAUGAUUGCUCUUGAUAAGAAUGACCUUAACAAAGCUUAUGUACAGCUUACGCUUGAGUUCAUCACUAAGCAGAAAUUUGAAGCCUAUAAUUCAAAAAGAGAGGUUGUGUCAGGAGACAAGUCAAAGGAGGUGCUGGUGAAAGACAUAUGGGUGUUUGAAAGAUCCCUUUUCCACCCUGGAGCAUACUGGCGUGUGUGUGCGCGAAUCACGCUGUGA